UGCAGUCGAGGGGCAGCAUUUCAGUUUGCUUGCAAACUGGAGAUGGCGACCGGCGCACGGGUGAGUAACACGUAUCCAACCUGCCGAUAACUCGGGGAUAGCCUUUCGAAAGAAAGAUUAAUACCCGAUGGUAUAAUNANACCGCAUGGUCUUGUUAUUAAAGAAUUUCGGUUAUCGAUGGGGAUGCGUUCCAUUAGGCAGUUGGUGAGGUAACGGCUCACCAAACCUUCGAUGGAUAGGGGUUCUGAGAGGAAGGUCCCCCACAUUGGAACUGAGACACGGUCCAAACNNNNNNGGGAGGCAGCAGUGAGGAAUAUUGGUCAAUGGGCGCAGGCCUGAACCAGCCAAGUAGCGUGAAGGAUGACUGCCCUAUGGGUUGUAAACUUCUUUUAUAUGGGAAUAAAGUUUUCCACGUGUGGAAUUUUGUAUGUACCAUAUGAAUAAGGAUCGGCUAACUCCGUGCCAGCAGCCGCGGUAAUACGGAGGAUCCGAGCGUUAUCCGGAUUUAUUGGGUUUAAAGGGAGCGUAGGUGGACAGUUAAGUCAGUUGUGAAAGUUUGCGGCUCAACCGUAAAAUUGCAGUUGAUACUGGCUGUCUUGAGUACAGUAGAGGUGGGCGGAAUUCGUGGUGUAGCGGUGAAAUGCUUAGAUAUCACGAAGAACUCCGAUUGCGAAGGCAGCUCACUGGACUGCAACUGACACUGAUGCUCGAAAGUGUGGGUAUCAAACAGGAUUAGAUACCCUGGUAGUCCACACAGUAAACGAUGAAUACUCGCUGUUUGCGAUAUACAGUAAGCGGCCAAGCGAAAGCAUUAAGUAUUCCACCUGGGGAGUACGCCGGCAACGGUGAAACUCAAAGGAAUUGACGGGGGCCCGCACAAGCGGAGGAACAUGUGGUUUAAUUCGAUGAUACGCGAGGAACCUUACCCGGGCUUAAAUUGCAUUUGAAUAUAUUGGAAACAGUAUAGCCGUAAGGCAAAUGUGAAGGUGCUGCAUGGUUGUCGUCAGCUCGUGCCGUGAGGUGUCGGCUUAAGUGCCAUAACGAGCGCAACCCUUAUCUUUAGUUACUAACAGGUCAUGCUGAGGACUCUAGAGAGACUGCCGUCGUAAGAUGUGAGGAAGGUGGGGAUGACGUCAAAUCAGCACGGCCCUUACGUCCGGGGCUACACACGUGUUACAAUGGGGGGUACAGAAGGCAGCUACCUGGUGACAGGAUGCUAAUCCCAAAAGCCUCUCUCAGUUCGGAUCGAAGUCUGCAACCCGACUUCGUGAAGCUGGAUUCGCUAGUAAUCGCGCAUCAGCCAUGGCGCGGUGAAUACGUUCCCGGGCCUUGUACACACCGCCCGUCAAGCCAUGAAAGCCGGGGGUACCUGAAGUACGUAACCGCAAGGAGC
rnacentral:rRNA from 2 species